rnacentral:sRNA from 1 species
AGCUGGAGCCGGAGCUGAAGCCGGAGCCGGGCUGGAGUCUGGGCGGGGGCUGGGCCGGAGCGGGCUCCAGAGACAUGGGGUCGACCGACUCCAAGCUGAACUUCCGGAAGGCGGUGAUCCAGCUCACCACCAAGACGCAGAGAUAGUCUCACUAUGUUACCCAGGCUGGUCUCCAACUUCUGGGCUCAAGUGAUCCUCCUGCUUCAGCCUCCCAAAGCUCUGGGAUUACAGGUGUGAACCACUCUGUCACCGAGGCUGAAGUGCCAUGCCCGUGGAAGCCACCGAUGAUGCCUUUUGGGACCAGUUCUGGGCAGACACAGCCACCUCGGUGCAGGAUGUGUUUGCACUGGUGCCGGCAGCAGAGAUCCGGGCCGUGCGGGAAGAGUCACCCUCCAACUUGGCCACCCUGUGCUACAAGGCCGUUGAGAAGCUGGUGCAGGGAGCUGAGAGUGGCUGCCACUCGGAGAAGGAGAAGCAGAUCGUCCUGAACUGCAGCCGGCUGCUCACCCGCGUGCUGCCCUACAUCUUUGAGGACCCCGACUGGAGGGGCUUCUUCUG